AAGUCGUAACAAGGUUUUUGUAGGUGAACCUGCGGAAGGAUCAUUAACACGUAUCAACGUUAAAACCCCUGUGAACUGCUCUUGUGGCCCGUGUGAAGCAGCAAUUCCGGUAAAUCAAGUGGGAGGAUUCGAUUCGCACUGGAAAGUGUAAGGAUUACGCUUCUCGGUUGCUAGAGGUCGAUCACCGACCGGCAGACAUGCCACAAGGUCACCGCGCCCCGAAUCACUCCCUCUGAACCAUACGCCGGCGCCAUUGAAAAGCUGCGCCAAAAAAAACCGAACAACUGUUAACAAUGGAUAUCUUGGUUCUC
rnacentral:misc_RNA from 1 species